rnacentral:rRNA from 1 species
UGACGCAGCCACGCCGCGUGCGGGAAGAAGGCCUUCGGGUCGUAAACCGCUUUCAGGAGGGAAGAAGCGAAAGUGACGGUACCUCCAGAAGAAGGCCCGGCUAACUACGUGCCAGCAGCCGCGGUAUACGUAGGCCGAGCGUUGUCCGGAUAUGGGCGUAGCGCAUGUAGGCGGCCUUGUAAGUCGAUUGUGAUCCCGAGGCUCAACUUCGGAACUGCAGUCGAUACUGCAAGGCUUGAGGAAGGUAGAGGAGAGUGGAAUUCCCGGUGUAGCGGUGGAUGCGCAUAUCGGGAGGAACACCAAUGCGAAGGCGCUCUCUGGGCCUUUCCUGACGCUGAGAUGCGAAAGCGUGGGUAGCGAACAGGAUAGAUACCCUGGUAGUCCACGCCGUAACGAGUGCUAGAUGUGGGGAUCAGUUCACGAUUCCGUGUCGAAGCUAACGCGUUAAGCACCCCGCCUGGGGACUACGGCCGCAAGGCUAAAACUCAAAGGAUUGAC